rnacentral:lncRNA from 1 species
GAAGAAAGCUCGAGACUCCAAUCCCAGGAAGGCGACGGCAGCGGCGGCAAAGAUGAAGCCUCCAGCGCAGCAAUUACAGAAUAUCUGCUCUGUUUAAGAACUUGGAAAAUGAAGACAUGAGUGAAACAGUCCCACCCCUUAAAGAACUCUGAAGUUAUUGAGAAAGACAGAGGGGCAGUAAACAACUCUCCUACAAGAGAAGAGGUGAAUGUGUUGUAAUAGAAGCACAAAUGAAGGGUUUACGCCCAACCAAUAUCUCACAUUAUUUAAACAAACCAUGUGGUUUUAAUCUUUCUUACCUUUGAACACACUUCUGCCAGCUAUUCCCAGCUCCCUUAUCUUUUUAUGAUAAUCUCUUGCAUCCUUCUAAACUCUCUGGGGGUAUAAUCACCUUUGUGAAAUCUUUCCUGAAUCCCAUUUUAUCUCUUCCCAUUUGUUUUGCCAGGAACUCUUCCAGCUAUGUAGAUUCAACAGUGAAUAAAACAAAGUUCUUUCUUUUGUGGAGCUUUGAUUCUAAUAAGAGAGUCAGAUAAUAAACAUAUGAACGUAUGAUAUGUCAUGAUGACAAGAAUUGUGAAAAGAGUAAGCAAUAUAAAAUGAAGUGAUGGGGUGCAAUUUUAUAUGGAGUGGUCAGGGAAAGCUACUCUGAUGAAGUGAUACAAGAGACUUGAAUGGAGACAGGAGGUGAGCCCCGUGGAUUUCGGGGUGACAGACUAUCAAACAGAGGAAUAAGAAGUGCAAAGGCCCUGAGGUAGAAGCAUACUUGGCAUGUUCAAGAAACUCAAAAUGUAGCUAAAGUAUAGUGAGUGAGAGA